GAUCAUGGCUCAGGACGAACGCUGGCGGCGUGCCUAACACAUGCAAGUCGAACGGAGACAAACGCAGAAAUGAGAUUAGCUUGCUAAAGGAUUUUCAUGUUUGUCUUAGUGGCGGACGGGUGAGUAACGCGUGAGGAACCUGCCUCUCAGAGGGGGAUAACGUUUGGAAACGAACGCUAAUACCGCAUACCUUGCCGGAACGGCAUCGUUCUGGCAAGAAAGGAGCAAUCCGCUGAGAGAUGG
rnacentral:rRNA from 1 species